rnacentral:rRNA from 1 species
GCAGUCGUACGAUGAAGCCCAUCUUGCUGGGUGGAUUAGUGGCGAACGGGUGAGUAACACGUGAGCAACCUGCCCCUGACUCUGGGAUAAGCGCUGGAAACGGCGUCUAAUACUGGAUACGAACCAUGAAGGCAUCUUCAGUGGUUGGAAAGAUUUAUUGGUUGGGGAUGGGCUCGCGGCCUAUCAGCUUGUUGGUGAGGUAAUGGCUCACCAAGGCGUCGACGGGUAGCCGGCCUGAGAGGGUGACCGGCCACACUGGGACUGAGACACGGCCCAGACUCCUACGGGAGGCAGCAGUGGGGAAUAUUGCACAAUGGGCGCAAGCCUGAUGCAGCAACGCCGCGUGAGGGAUGACGGCCUUCGGGUUGUAAACCUCUUUUAGCAGGGAAGAAGCGAAAGUGACGGUACCUGCAGAAAAAGCACCGGCUAACUACGUGCCAGCAGCCGCGGUAAUACGUAGGGUGCAAGCGUUAUCCGGAAUUAUUGGGCGUAAAGAGCUCGUAGGCGGUUUGUCGCGUCUGCUGUGAAAUCUGGGGGCUCAACCCCCAGCCUGCAGUGGGUACGGGCAGACUAGAGUGCGGUAGGGGAGAUUGGAAUUCCUGGUGUAGCGGUGGAAUGCGCAGAUAUCAGGAGGAACACCGAUGGCGAAGGCAGAUCUCUGGGCCGUAACUGACGCUGAGGAGCGAAAGGGUGGGGAGCAAACAGGCUUAGAUACCCUGGUAGUCCACCCCGUAAACGUUGGGAACUAGUUGUGGGGUCCAUUCCACGGAUUCCGUGACGCAGCUAACGCAUUAAGUUCCCCGCCUGGGG